rnacentral:rRNA from 1 species
AUUGAACGCUGGCGGAAUGCUUUACACAUGCAAGUCGAGCGGCAGCACGGGGGCAACCCUGGUGGCGAGCGGCGAACGGGUGAGUAAUACAUCGGAACAUGCCCAGUCGUGGGGGAUAACACUUCGAAAGAAGUGCUAAUACCGCAUACGUCCUGAGGGAGAAAGCGGGGGAUCUUCGGACCUCGCGCGAUUGGAGUGGCCGAUGUCAGAUUAGCUAGUUGGUGGGGUAACGGCCUACCAAGGGAACGAUCUGUAGCUGGUCUGAGAGGAUGAUAAGCCACACUGGGACUGAGAGACGGCCCAGACUCCGACGGGAGGCAGCAGUGGGGAAUUUUGGACAAUGGGGGCAACCCUGAUCCAGCCAUUCCGCGUGAGUGAAGAAGGCCUUCGGGUUGUAAAGCUCUUUCGGCAGGAACGAACGGCGAGCUCUAACAUAGCUUGCUAAUGACGGUACCUGAAGAAGAAGCACCGGCUAACUACGUGCCAGCCGCCGCAGUAAUAC